AUAAAUGGUCAAUUUCAUUCAACCCAUUUGACCAAUUAGGGUUUCGAUAUCGAAUUCCAAAUUGGGAAAUCUAAUCGAUUUUUGAGAAAACCAUCCAUUGCAUCCAGCCAUUUGAUCGGUUGGGGUUUUGACCCGUGCUUCACUGAAAAAUUUGGUCAACGAAUUCCAAUCUCUUCGAUAGGAAGUUCGUCAAGGUCAAAUCCGUGCGUUUUUGCAAAUUUUUGUAUCGAUCAAAAGUGAUCAAUCCCUUCGAACGAGGUCUUUAUUUUGACAAACGUCCCUUCUCAUUCCAAUGGGCUAAAUUUUUCAAAAUUAUUUUUUUCACUCAAUGGGUUAAUCGGAUCCAUCAGGUAUUGUAUAGUGCCUAUUCUAGCGGAUUGCAUUUUCAUGCUAGGCCUACCCUUGGCACAAAAGGGUUCCCCCAUAGGACAUGCAUAUCGAUUUUACAGUUUUACCUACUAACUCGGGAUAUUUUUCUUUGUUUUUCCCCUCCCCUGCAUUCAUAAAAAA
rnacentral:lncRNA from 1 species